GCCAGUGUGGUGCAGUGGUCUGAGUGUUGAACUGCGACUCUGGAAACCAAGGUUCAAUUCCCUGCUUGGCCA